rnacentral:tRNA from 1 species
GAGAGAUGGCUCAGUGGUUAAGAGCACUGGCUGCUCUUCCAGAGGACCCAGGUUCAAUUCCCAGUACUCUCA